AAUGGGCGAAAGCCUGAUGCAGCAACGCCGCGUGAGUGAUGAAGGUCUUCGGAUUGUAAAGCUCUGUCUUUUGGGACGAUAAUGACGGUACCAAAGGAGGAAGCCACGGCUAACUACGUGCCAGCAGCCGCGGUAAUACGUAGGUGGCAAGCGUUGUCCGGAUUUACUGGGCGUAAAGGGUGCGUAGGUGGAUAUUUAAGUCAGAUGUGAAACCCCUGGGCUCAACUCAGGGACUGCAUUUGAAACUGGAUAUCUUGAGUGCGGGAGAGGUAAGUGGAAUUCCUAGUGUAGCGGUGAAAUGCGUAGAGAUUAGGAAGAACACCAGUGGCGAAGGCGACUUACUGGACCGUAACUGACACUGAGGCACGAAAGCGUGGGUAGCAAA
rnacentral:rRNA from 1 species